GUGGAUUAGAUACCCGGGUAGUCCACGCCCUAAACGAUGUCAACUAGUUGUUCGGUGAGGAGACUCAUUGAGUAACGCAGCUAACGCGUGAAGUUGACCGCCUGGGGAGUACGGCCGCAAGGUUAAAACUCAAAGGAAUUGACGGGGACCCGCACAAGCGGUGGAUGAUGUGGAUUAAUUCGAUGCAACGCGAAAAACCUUACCUACCCUUGACAUGCCAGGAACUUGCCAGAGAUGGCUUGGUGCUCGAAAGAGAGCCUGGACACAGGUGCUGCACGGCCGUCGACAACU
rnacentral:rRNA from 1 species